ensembl:misc_RNA Metazoa_SRP Metazoan signal recognition particle RNA
GCCAGGUGUGGUGGUGCACACCUGUAGUCCCAGCUAUUCGGGAGGCUGAGAUGGGAGGAUCACUUGAGCCCAGGAAGUUGAGGCUGCAGUGAGCCGAGAUCACACCAUUGCACUCCAACCUGGGUGACAAAGUGAGACCCUAUCUCAA